UUCAAAGCUGGCCAUUUCUCUGCUGCCCAUCAUCCAGCUCCAUCCUAAAUUGGAUUACGAUGGGACAGACUUUGUUGCAAGACCUCUGGGACACGCGGGAGUACCGGAGCUGCUGAGAGGAUGAUGACAUGUCUCGGGGGAUAACCGCAGAUGGAAGAGAGAGCAGAGAGGAGAGGAGGACAUUGUAAUGGAGCCAUGGACGAUGCAGCUGCUGACACUGUGAGUCUGAAGGGGUUGGUGAAGGGAGGAUCACCGGAUUCUUGAAUUGGAAACCAAAUCAAGCACUAGUCGGACUGUGAAUUCAUGCAGGGGAGCGUGAGAGUUAUGGGUCAGCUCUCUCCUUGGACUUAUUCAAAAUUAAAAACCCAUUUGGAUUGCCA